rnacentral:tRNA from 1 species
GCCCCCGUAGCUCAGCUGGUAGAGCGACUGACUGUUAAUCAGUAGGUCAGGAGUUCGAGUCUCCUCGGGGGCG